GGGACGUUAGCUCAGUCGGUAGAGCAGCGGACUUUUAAUCCGUUGGUCGGGAGUUCGAAUCUCCCACGUCCUACCA
rnacentral:tRNA from 1 species